UUUUUACUAAGAGUCCUACACCAUUUAUAUAAACCAUGACACCAUCACCUCUCUGAAGAUUUUUCACGGUAGUGAUUACUCUUAGAACAACAAUGACAAUGGCCGAAGGUAUGUUGCUAAUCUAUUUUCCGCUGUAAUGACUCAGUAUUUAUAUUUGAUCUUCAACAAGUAGUAUUAGGAAGAGGAACCUUGGAGUUACGGUAAAGUUAUCUUCGUGUGACCUAUAUAGGUCACGGAUUCGAACCGUGAAAGCAGUCACUCAUGCUAUAGUAGGAUAGGAUGUCUACAUCACAUGCCUGGGGUCAGAGGCGGACCCAGAUGGGGAAUACUAUUCUGCUCAACCAAUGCCCACUAAAAACUUUUAGUGUUCAGAGUGUCAAGUGCUUUAAAUUAACUAUUUUAUACAUAUACAUAUACAAAAAUUUUGCCGAAGCUUACAGGGUCCGGUGACCCCUCAUCGCAACAUGUAGGUCCGCCUCUGUCUGGGAUACGGCCUUUCCCCGUACUCUGUAUAAACAUGAAAUACUUUGUGCACUGGGCUCGAAAAAGUCUUCUUUCAGCUGUGCUGUGUUUGUUAUGUGGUCCGAUUCUAUUGAGGAAGAAUACACUAUAUUCACAAGAUAUGUCGUUUGUCCUGCUUGAAUUGAAGUAUAGUUUGGUAAUUUUGACCAAUGUCUGUCAAUUACAAAUCUAAAAUUGAUUCGUGAUUUGAAAAAUUCAACAAUCAAGAGAACUUUUGAGUGUAUGAUUUUGUGUACAGAAAGUUAGUUUUGGUGAGUUCUUGGCUUCUUGCUAUAGGGUGAUUGCCUACUUGACAAGAAUAAUAUAUAUAUAUAUAUAUAUAUAUAUAUAUAUAUAUAUAUAUAUUGCAAGCUUUAAUUCUCUAGAGAAAGAGAUCUGUCUCGACUUAUCAAUGAAUUCGACAUACUAUUUGAUAUGAGGUCAAGAUAUGUUGCCUUUUAAAUUUUGACUAUUUGUAAAAUCAGUUGGCCUCUGAGGAAAUAAUGUUUUACUUCUGAAGUAUUUUCCAGCAGAUCUUGUAUAAAGUUUUUAAAAUUAUGCUAUAUUAUUUUGAUUUAUUUGCUUAUCUAAUUCUUUAAUUUAGCAUCCGAUGAUAUUCAAAAGUCUCAUAGAUCAAAGCAUCGUAUACAUAAAUCAUCCGGCUCAUCUCACAAGGGCAUAACCCGCUCCGUUUCAUGUGACGCACAGUUGAAAGGAUCUGCUUCUACCCCUCGUGGGUCCAUGGCAUGAAUUGUUUUACGUAACUGAUUCCAACUCGCUUGAGAUUGAGGCGUAAUUAUUACUGUUGUUCUUUCUACAUAAGGUUGACCUAAGCAAACUCGAGAUGGGUUCACUGUGGAGAUAUUGUCGACAGUUUAAUCUUGUAAGCAAUGCUAUACCUAAUCCCUCGAGGGAGCAACUAAUUGAUGUUGUCCAGAGGCAUUUCUCAUCCUUGGUACUUUCUUUGUUAUCUUGCCGUUGCUUUGGUUCAAAUUAUGUAUUUAGAUUUAUGUCUAUGUCGUGCUAAUUCUAUGAUUGAUCUAUUUUAGUGUGAUG
rnacentral:lncRNA from 1 species